AAUCAACGCUGGCGGCGUGCCUAACACAUGCAAGUCGCACGAGAAAGUGGAGCAAUCCAUGAGUACAGUGGCGCACGGGUGAGUAACACGUGAAUGAUCUACCUCCGAGUGGGGAAUAACCUAGAGAAAUCUGGGCUAAUACCGCAUAACACUUACGAGUCAAAGCAGCAAUGCGCUUGGAGAGGAGUUCGCGGCCGAUUAGUUAGUUGGCAGGGUAAUGGCCUACCAAGACGAUGAUCGGUAUCCGGCCUGAGAGGGCGCACGGACACACUGGAACUGAAACACGGUCCAGACUCCUACGGGAGGCAGCAGUGGGGAAUUUUGCGCAAUGGGGGAAACCCUGACGCAGCAACGCCGCGUGGAGGAUGAAAUCCCUUGGGAUGUAAACUCCUUUCGAUGGGGAAGAUUAUGACGGUACCCAUAGAAGAAGCCCGGCUAACUUCGUGCCAGCAGCCGCGGUAAUACSAGG
rnacentral:rRNA from 1 species